AUGGGGGGAACCCUGAUCCAGCCAUGCCGCGUGUGUGAAGAAGGCCUUUUGGUUGUAAAGCACUUUAAGCGAGGAGGAGGAGCUCUUGGUUAAUACCCAAGAUGCUUGGACGUUACUCGCAGAAUAAGCACCGGCUAACUCUGUGCCAGCAGCCGCGGUAAUACAGAGGGUGCAAGCGUUAAUCGGAUUUACUGGGCGUAAAGCGCGCGUAGGUGGCCAAUUAAGUCAAAUGUGAAAUCCCCGAGCUUAACUUGGGAAUUGCAUUCGAUACUGGUUGGCUAGAGUAUGGGAGAGGAUGGUAGAAUUCCAGGUGUAGCGGUGAAAUGCGUAGAGAUCUGGAGGAAUACCGAUGGCGAAGGCAGCCAUCUGGCCUAAUACUGACACUGAGGUGCGAAAGCAUGGGGAGCAAACAGGAUUAGAUACCCUGGUAGUCCAUGCCGUAAACGAUGUCUACUAGCCGUUGGGGCCUUUGAGGCUUUAGUGGCGCAGCUAACGCGAUAAGUAGACCGCCUGGGGAGUACGGUCGCAAGACUA
rnacentral:rRNA from 1 species